rnacentral:rRNA from 1 species
CGUCGGGGAAGAAAAUGACUGUACCCGAAUAAGAAGGUCCGGCUAACUUCGUGCCAGCAGCCGCGGUAAUACGAAGGGACCUAGCGUAGUUCGGAAUUACUGGGCUUAAAGAGUUCGUAGGUGGUUAAAAAAGUUGGUGGUGAAAUCCCAGAGCUUAACUCUGGAACUGCCAUCAAAACUUUUCAGCUAGAGUAUGAUAGAGGAAAGCAGAAUUUCUAGUGUAGAGGUGAAAUUCGUAGAUAUUAGAAAGAAUACCAAUUGCGAAGGCAGCUUUCUGGAUCAUUACUGACACUGAGGAACGAAAGCAUGGGUAGCGAAGAGGAUUAGAUACCCUCGUAGUCCAUGCCGUAAACGAUGUGUGUUAGACGUUGGAAAUUUAUUUUCAGUGUCGCAGCGAAAGCAAUAAACACACCGCCUGGGGAGUACGACCGCAAGGUUAAAACUCAAAUGAAUUGACGGGGACCCGCACAAGUAGUGGAGCAUGUGGUUUAAUUCGAAGAUACGCGCAGAACCUUACCAACACUUGACAUGUUCGUCGCGACUCUAAGAGAUUAGAGUUUUCGGUUCGGCCGGACGAAACACAGGUGCUGCAUGGCUGUCGUCAGCUCGUGUCGUGAGAUGUUGGGUUAAGUCCCGCAACGAGCGCAACCCUCACUUUUAGUUGCCAUCAUUAAGUUGGGCACUCUGAAAGAACUGCCAGUGAUAAGCUGGAGGAAGGUGGGGAUGACGUCAAGUCCUCAUGGCCCUUACGUGUUGGGCUACACAC